GUGCUGCCAUAGUGGAUAACAUGUUUUCAUGAAAGUAGACAGUAUUAACAAGCCAAAAGAAAGUGCACAUGACUUGGCCGUUGGGACCAUGAUGUCUAAGACACGAGGCACAACCACACUUCACUAUACAUAGUCUACAAAGCCUCUAAAUGAUGAAACAUUAUGGGGUUAAGGUCGGGACAGGCCCCGCCUUACACUCAGCUACUAUACAAUACCAAAAUACAUGUUAU
rnacentral:lncRNA from 1 species